CCCAAGGCCAGCAGAGUGACCUGAGAUGACAGAACACAGGGCUUACGGAGCUGCCAGACAUUGAUACAAUUUAGGAGAGACACCCCCAUCCCUUUCUGGCUCCUGAAGAAAUGCAGGAAGAGAAAGAGUUUCUUCGGUUAUAAAACGUAGGGUGGACUAGAUUAACCUUCUUUGUGCCAACCCCCAUUGCUGGUAGGGCUGCCUGAAGCAUCGUGUUGAGAGAAGUCCAGUGAUCUGCCACCCAUGCCUUCCAAUAACCUUGGCCUCCUCGAGGGGCUGGAGAACUCGGAUGAUGACAUCUGACACCUAUUAGUCAUCUUGGAAUCUCCUACAUGACAGUCAGCUCCACACGGAUGGGGACCUGCGUGCUUAGUUCCCUUCUGAGUCCUUAGUACCUAGCACAGGGAAAUGCAGAGGGCAUUCAGUGACUAGUGGUACAAACGAAUGAAUAAA
rnacentral:lncRNA from 1 species